CCCUGGGAGCCACCAAGGUGCACUCAGUGGCCUUCUAGGCUUCGGUUCCUGCUCCGCGCCCCGCAGAAACCGCGGCUGGCUGGCCAGGGGCUCUUCCAACUUCCAGCGGGAGCAGGUGCACAGCAAAACAAAGAAUAAAGAUUAUGAAGAAAGAGAAGAACUUCCCAGGCCCAAGCAGCUGUCGGCUCCUGCGCUCCCAACGGGGUGGCCGUUUCCUUCCUCGCACCCUCUUCUCUCCCGGUGCCUGCGGUCCCACCUUCCAGAUACCCCUCGGAGAGUCCAGCUGAGCUCUCGCCAGAGCUUUCCCCUUCCAACCCGCUCGACUUGCCCAGAUCCCAAGCUGGGCUUCUCUCUCCAUCGCCCCAGAAAGUGGGUCUUGGAGACCGAGGCAAGAAUUUGGGCCUCCGCUUCUGUUCCAGACCCCGGACCCCUUGCCAAAAUGCGGCAGAUGUGCAGAUUGGGCCGCGCUUGGUUCCUGGCUGGGUUUAUGGAGCCUGCGGCUGAGGCAGGCUCCGCAGACCCCGAGCCAGAGUGGGAUUUAACGGCGGCCGGUGCGCUGUGCUUGGUCAACCCCGGUAACCGUCACGCUGCUAGUGAUAUGAAAAAAACCUGCCAGCGUUCUGCUUUUCUGCCCCGCUGCAGUCUUUAGCACCCGCCAGGAUUCUGUCCGAGUGUUUGGAUUUUGUAAUCCUCCUGUCUUUGGCCAACUCCCCAUCCUUGGCGGAGCGCUCGCCCUUGGCCGGGCUCCGUGCUGCCAGCCUUGCGGAACCCUAGGCCCGGGCGGCUCUGUCGGAGGCCCACUUCUCACUGAUGCGGAGUGGCCCGAGGGUGGGAGCAGCGGUUAAUGCCGCACUGAUUAAUACAGGCUCCAGUGAAAGCGAAAGUAAGAAAAUAAAACGGAUUUCAUUAUACAUAUACAAUGUGUGUAUGGAUACAUGUACAUACAUAUUACACUUAUGUGUAUGUUACGCACGUUUGUUAAAAUGAGGUCAUAAUGUUCAUGCUGUUUCAUAACCCACUUUCUUUCAAUGACCACCUUUUCAUUUCAGUAAAUCUUCGUAUUCUCAUGUUGCAGCUUCUCCAUUUUUCUUUAACAUGUUUACAGAGAGUCUGUGCAAACCUGUACCAAAUCCAGAACCAUGCAUCUAUAACGUGCUAAAAGAUUGUCAACCUAGAAUCCUAUAACAACCACAAAAAAGGCCUACCUAAAUGGAGGCAAAGUAAUGACUUCAGACAAAAAAAAAAAAAAAGGAAAUCUGAAAAUCUGAGGGAAUUUGUCACCAGCCGAUCUUUCUUAUGAAAAAAUAUUAAAGGAAGUUCUUUAGCUGGAAGGAAAAUGAUACCUGAAUGAAACUCAGAUCUACAAAAAAGAAUGAAGAGCACAGAAGAUAGUAAAUAUGCAGAUAAAUAUAAAAAAUCUCUUUUUUACUGUUAAAAUUAUUCUUUUUUUACAAUAUAACAAAAUGUAUUUUCAUUGGAUAUUAAUUAUGAACCCACAAUGCAUGUAAACUAAAUACAAUACUUCAAAUCAUUCUGCACAAAGAAAUUACAGAUCACAUUUAUUUAAUAACAAAAUGUCUAAUUGUUUAAUAAAAUGUUUUUAGGAACUUACAAUAUAAUUUUCAAAAACAAAGAAUAAAAAUAUUAAAUAUAUCACUUUAUGGCAGAGGACAACAUAAAUUUAU
rnacentral:lncRNA from 1 species